GAAGAACCUCCUUGAACUAUGUCUGAAGGGCAUGUUCCUCAAGCUAAACUACUGGAACACAAAGAUAGGUCUCCAGGUGAAAGAACUUGGAGCUGAUUACAUAGACGGAAUGGAGAAAAUUGACAAUAUUAUUAAAAAAAUAAAUGUAACAGAAAACACAGUGAAGAGGACCUUUGCAAGAAUGUGAAACUGCUGAGUGCAAAGCUAAGGAUGUAUCAAAUGGAGGCAGAGGACACCGACUCUCACAGUUUUGAGGAAAUAGAUACGGAAGAGAUGGAGGCCCUGCU
rnacentral:sRNA from 1 species